rnacentral:lncRNA from 1 species
GAUGGUGGUCUUCAAAAGAUGCAACAGGAUGCAAUGGCAGUUGACAAUGGGGUAACUGUUGCAGCAAUCCUGUGGCAAGUUUACCACCCUGAAUAUCCCAGAACUUGGAGUGAAGCUUUGCAUCCCCUGGGAUGGCAGAGCCAAGAAAAACCAUGAGGAUGGAAGCACUGUGAGUACCGGCAGGGUCAGCCCAGCAAGGGUCAGUAAGAACUUCCCUUUUCAAAAGAUAAAGCGGUUCACAUAGACAGCUGUGGUGGACUCUUUCUGCUGCCUGCCCAACAGACUUCUGCACAUUUCCUAAGGACAGAACCGCAUUUUUGUACUAGAGCAGAGAUUCCAUGACAUCGGGAGAAGAGGCCCUUCCCCCAAUCCCAGGAGCCAAUAAACUCAUUCUUCUUUGCAAUUGUACAAUGACAUGCACAGGGAAGUCUUCCUUUCCAGGGUAUAAAGCACCAUUAGGAGAAAGUUUUUGGCUUGCCUUGGCCCUUAUUUUUUGUUUUGGGGAUUUUGCAUGUGACAACAUCAUUCCUGAGCUGUGGCAGCCAUCUUACCAUCAUGAGGAAACAGCCACGGGGAUAAAAAGCCAAUCCUCUGAGGACCUGGAAGAAAGGACAGAACCUGGCUCCCAAGGCAUCACUGAGACCCAAAUCAACAGUAAGUAAGCACAGCACCUACUUCUGGGCUUCUUUUUAUGAGAGAAAAAAAAAGUUCCCAUUUGUGUAAAUCAUAGUGUUUGGUGUUCCUUUUCUUUUUUAGUUUUAAUUGUAUUUAUUUCCUCUCUUUCGGAUGGUUGAUUUAUUCACAUGGGUCAAAAUUCAAAAAGUAUCAAAGAGUAAACAGUGAAAUGUCUCUCUUUCACUCCUAUCCCCCAACCACCGAGGUCCCUGCUCUGGAAGCAACCAAUGUUACUGUUUCUGAUGCUUUUCCAGAGGUAAUUUAUGCAUAUUCAAACAAAUAUACAUAAAUAUAUUCCUUUGCUUUUUUAUUUCUACAGAUGGUACUACAGUAGUCCCCCCUUGUUUGUGAUUUUUUUUUUUCCUUGUUUGUGAUUUUGCUUUCCAUGGUUUCAGUUAUCUGCUGUCAACUGUGGUCCAAAAAUAUUAAAUGGAAAAUUCCGGAAAGAAACAAUUCAUCUGUUUUAAAUUGUGCACUGUUCUGAACAGCAUGAUGAAACCUCAAGCUGUCCUACUGAGACAGAGUAGGGAUGGGACUCGGGCCCCACUCGUGCCCUACCGAGAACCUCUAUUGUAAGCUGGGGUGGGGGUGUGUGGCCAGUGAGGACCCCAACCAGACUGUCCAGACCUUGCACCAUGAAUCUUGCUCAAGGUACUACACCCACUCAUCGCAGACCCUUAGAGAGACUAAGAUGAACAACGUCCCACCAUAAAUCUUACUCCAGGUGCCAAACCCACUAGUUGUAGAAAUUAAAAUAAGCAGCUCCCACCUUGAAUCUUACUCAAAGGAGUUAACCCUAUCUCCCGUAUGUAUACCACAGGACCAGAAGAAUGAGCGCUCCUUUGCCUUAUCUUCAUUAUAAUACUAAAAAUCACACUGGGGUGGAGACUUAACAUGCUAAUGAGACACACGAUGCAUAAAGAAGCAUGUUAUCAAACUGAACAGGUGCCAAAAUUUCCUCAUCUCUACCUGCUCAAACUCACUCCCUUCUCACUUUAGUUCCUUUAAUUCUCCUUUAGUUCCUUUAGUUCUCUUGAGUCUCUUCCAGGAGCCAGCCAGAGAAUUCUCUCUCUCGUGCUGCCUCCCUUAUGCCCUGCAUAAGCUCUAAUAAAGCCUUGUCUGGGAAAACUC